GCUGUGAUGGCUGAGUGGUUAAGGCGUCGGACUUGAAAUCCAAUGGGGUUUCCCCACUUAGGCUCGAGUCCUGCUUAUAGCG